rnacentral:rRNA from 1 species
CCCUUAGAUGUUCUGGGCCGCACGCGCGCUACACUGAUGCAUUCAACGAGUCUAAAACCUGCUCUGAUAGGGGUGGGUAAUCUUUUGAAUGUGCAUCGUGAUUGGGAUAGAUGAUUGCAAUUUUUCAUCUUUAACGAGGAAUGCCUAGUAAACGCAAGUCAUCAGCUUGCAUUGAUUACGUCCCUGCCCUUUGUACACACCGCCCGUCGCUCCUACCGAUUGAAUGAUCCGAUGAAUAUCAUGGAUUGAGGAUGCAAGUAGGUUCGCCUAUCUUCAUCUUCGAGAAGUGAAGUAAAUCUUAUCAUUUAGAGGAAGGAGAAGUCGUAACA